UCCGGGCUGGGAAGGGAGAGCCAGAUCUGCCUUCUUGUCUUUGCAGGCGCGUUUCGGGGUCAGCUCCUCAGCGCCGCUGAAACGCGGCUCAGGAACACUGCGGCUCCUGGUGCCAGCAGAGCUUUGUGGCAGCCGCUUCAGAGAGCUGAGGGAACUUUUUCUGAGACAAAUCACCACCACCGCUUUGACAGCAAAUAUCCAUCUUCAGCCCAGAGCGCUUAAUGGCCAUGAGCUAAUCUUCAUCAUAAAUACCAGUUCCAAUUUUGCUUCCAACAGGUGGAAUGGCAAAUGCCUUUUACCAGCUACCAGAAUGGCUUUCUUUGAUUACUAAAAGACUUCGAGCUUCCCAAACAUCAUCAGGCAUUAAAAGCAUAAAGGAAGGCGCAGGCUGUGCUAGGGGGACUUCACAGGCUGAUUUCUUUGUAGCAGUGAAACGCUUUGAAUCGAGCUGUGAUUGAGCAGUGACUAAUACCGAGCACAGACAUCUCUUCUCUUAUUUAGAUCUCGUGCACCACUUUUAUUACAAUGCUGAAUAAAAUCACCAGUGCUGUAUUGUGGCUUC